CUCCUCAAGGCUUCUUUAGUCACCUCUACACCUGUCCAGUGUAUUAGGCCUAAACCUUCUCCAAGGGCUGUUCCAAGAAUCCAGUCUAAUGACCCCAACUCACCGAUGGCUGUCCAAGCAAACCAACUCAGUGGUCUUACAAAUUCAGUUGUCACUGCUAUAUCAGUCAAAUCUAGUGGCCACAAAGGAUCUCCAGCAGUUGGUACACAAGUUCACCAUAACAGUCCUCAAGGUUCUCCAACUAUUAAUGCCCAAGCUCACCAUAACAGCCCUCAAGGUUCUCCAACUAUUAAUGCCCACGCUCAGCCUAAUAGUCCUCAAAACAUUUCUUCUACCGCUAAGGGCCCGAUAGAUUCACCAGUUAAACCUGAUGACCACAUGACUCCACCAGCCCAAAAAAGCAGUUCUAAAUCUCCAGCAACGUCAGGUCCAAAUAAGGGCCCUGAAAAUGCACCAUCAGCCCAAACUAAAGCUCCUCAGAUGAGUCCAGCAAUGCUUGCUAAAUUAGAGCGAGCAAAAGCCAGAAAGGAGGCCUUUAAAAGUGCAUCAACAUGCAAAGACUAUUCCAUCUUCUGUGUGAAAAGAUAGAAAUCUCACAGCAUAUCAUACAGCAUAUAAAAAAAACUAAACAAAACAAAAAAUAUCAUACAGCAUAUAAAAAAAUAAAAAUAAAUAAAUUUUA